UACAGAGGUCUCAAGCGUUGUUCGGAUUCAUUGGGCGUAAAGGGUGCGUAGGCGGGUCUUUAAGUCAGGGGUGAAAUCCUGGAGCUCAACUCCAGAACUGCCUUUGAUACUGAGGAUCUUGAGUCCGGGAGAGGUGAGUGGAACUGCGAGUGUAGAGGUGAAAUUCGUAGAUAUUCGCAAGAACACCAGUGGCGAAGGCGGCUCACUGGCCCGGUACUGACGCUCAGGUGCGAAAGCGUGGGGAGCAAACAGG
rnacentral:rRNA from 1 species